rnacentral:rRNA from 1 species
UACGGAGGGAGCUAGCGUUGUUCGGAAUUACUGGGCGUAAAGCGCACGUAGGCGGCGACUCAAGUCAGAGGUGAAAGCCCGGGGCUCAACCCCGGAACUGCCUUUGAAACUAGGUUGCUAGAAUCCUGGAGAGGUGAGUGGAAUUCCGAGUGUAGAGGUGAAAUUCGUAGAUAUUCGGAAGAACACCAGUGGCGAAGGCGGAUCUCUGGACCAGUUCUGACACUGAUGAGCGAAAGCCAGGGGAGCAAACAGG